ACCAUGCAAGUCGAGCGGUAGAGAGAAGCUUGCUUCUCUUGAGAGCGGCGGACGGGUGAGUAAUGCCUAGGAAUCUGCCUGGUAGUGGGGGAUAACGUUCGGAAACGAACGCUAAUACCGCAUACGUCCUACGGGAGAAAGCAGGGGACCUUCGGGCCUUGCGCUAUCAGAUGAGCCUAGGUCGGAUUAGCUAGUUGGUGAGGUAAUGGCUCACCAAGGCGACGAUCCGUAACUGGUCUGAGAGGAUGAUCAGUCACACUGGAACUGAGACACGGUCCAGACUCCUACGGGAGGCAGCAGUGGGGAAUAUUGGACAAUGGGCGAAAGCCUGAUCCAGCCAUGCCGCGUGUGUGAAGAAGGUCUUCGGAUUGUAAAGCACUUUAAGUUGGGAGGAAGGGUAGUAGACUAAUACGCUACUGUUUUGACGUUACCGACAGAAUAAGCACCGGCUAACUCUGUGCCAGCAGCCGCGGUAAUACAGAGGGUGCAAGCGUUAAUCGGAAUUACUGGGCGUAAAGCGCGCGUAGGUGGUUUGUUAAGUUGGAUGUGAAAUCCCCGGGCUCAACCUGGGAACUGCAUUCAAAACUGACUGACUAGAGUAUGGUAGAGGGUGGGUGGAAUUUCCUGUGUAGCGGUGAAAUGCGUAGAUAUAGGAAGGAACACCAGUGGCGAAGGCGACCACCUGGACUAAUACUGACACUGAGGUGCGAAAGCGUGGGGAGCAAACAGGAUUAGAUACCCUGGUAGUCC
rnacentral:rRNA from 1 species